AGCCACUGACACGCCGGCAGCACAAUGAUGAUGUCUCUGACUCUACUGCUGGCCACCCUGGGGCUCCUUGUUCAGGGUUCAUCAGGUGAUAUCACCGUGUCUCAGUCUCCUGAAUCUCAGUCUGUUGUUCCAGGUCAGACUGUCUCUAUCAGAUGUAAAACCAGUUCAAAUGCUGGCAGUGAGGUGGACUGGUACCUUCAGAAACCUGGAGAAGCUCCUAAACUCCUGAUUUAUUAUGCAACAACUCGUCAGUCUGGAGUUUCAGAUCGUUUCAGUGGUAGUGGAUCUGGAACUGACUUCACUCUGACCAUCAGCAGAGUCCAGACUGAAGAUGCAGGAGUUUAUUACUGUCAGCAGGAUAACAGCCUCCCGUUCACGUUCGGUGGAGGAACCAGACUGGAUGUUGGAAGUGAUGUCCGUCCCACCCUGACGGUGCUGCCCCCCUCCCAUGAGGAGCUGAAGCAGGGGAAGGCCACACUCAUGUGCCUGGCCAACAAGGGCUACCCCUCAGGCUGGAGUCUGGCCUGGAAGGUGGACGGCAGCAGCAGCAGCUUGGAUCAGAGCAGGAGCCCCGGGGUGCUGGGGAAGGACGGCACCUACAGCUGGAGCAGCUCCCUGAGGCUCACUGCAGACCAGUGGACGAAGGCGGGCUCUGUGACCUGUGAGGCCACCCAGGGCUCCCAGACUCCGGUCUCAGAGACACUGAGGACAGACCAGUGUUCCCAGUCCUGACCUGACUCUCUGAGACUCUGUUACUGGUUUUACUCUGCUCCUGCUCUCACUCUGCUCUCUGUAACUCUCUCUCUCUCUCUCUCUCUCUCUCUGACUGUCUCUCAGAUGUGUUUGCUAGUUUCUUGUAAUGUUUGUAAUUUCAGUAUUUCCAGACAAUAAAUAUCA